rnacentral:rRNA from 1 species
ACGAACCAGCACUUGGGGGAAUGUAGCAUAUGUCUUUAGGCAUAUGUGUAUCGACUAUGUCGAAUAAAGUUCUAGAUAGAAUACUGAUGAUGACAAUUUUCUAUCUAUAUGUCUUGACCAAAUCUCGUGCCAGCAGUCGCGGCAAUACGAGGAAGACUAGUGUUAUUCAUCUUUAAUAGGUUUAAAGGGUACCUAGACUGUACAUCUAGCCCCUAAAGGGUACGGAUGUACUAGAGUUUUAUGUGAGAGGUAUAUAUUAGUACUAUUAGUGUAGAGAUGAAAUUUUUUGAUACUACUAGGAACUGGUGGCGGCGAAAGCAACCCUCUAUGUAUAAAAAAAAAAAUAAACUGACGUUGAGGGACGAAGGCUUGGGUAGCGAAUAGGAUUAGAUACCCUGGUAGUCCAGGCAGACAAUUAUGAGUGCCAUAGACUAAAAGAAAAGAGUCUAUAAAUGAAAGUGUAAGCACUCCACCUCAAGAGUAAUGUGGCAACGCAGGAACUGAAAUCAUUAGACCGUUUCUGAAACCAGUAGUGAAGUAUGUUAUUUAAUUCGAUAACCCUCGAAAAACCUUACCACAAUUUGAAUAUUAUUUGAUUAAUACAAGCGUUGCUUUGAUGAUGUCUAUAACAAGAAACCUGAGUAGGGUAAAAUGGCUUAGACACAUCCAUAGGAACAGCUCCUGUAGUUUUUAAUUAAUACAAGCGUUGCUUUGAUGAUGUCUAUAACAAGAAACCUGAGUAGGGUAAAAUGGCUUAGACACAUCCAUAGGAACAGCUCCUGUAGUUUUUAAUUAAUACAAGCGUUGCACGGCUGUCUUCAGUUAAUGUCGUGAGAUUUUGGUUAGAUCCAUUAAAUUAACGCAAACCCAUACUUUAUUUAUUAUUAAUAAAGUAGUUCACCGCUAUAUUGGAGAUGAUAAUAGGACUAAGACAA